AAUUGGAGGGCAAGUUUGGUGCCAGCAGCCGCGGUAAUACCGACUCCAAGAGUGUGUAUGAGAGAUGCUGCAGUUAAAAAGUCCGUAGUCAUAGAAGGGCAAAGAGAGAUGCGAGGUCUCACAGUGCGAUGAUGGAGGAGCCGAUGGGGAACAUAGUAUACCAGGGCGAGAGAUGAAAUGCCAAGACCCCUGGUGGACUGAGCGAGGCGAAGGCGAUGUUCUUGUAGGCAUUCGGUGAUCAAGGACGAAGGCUGGAGUAUCGAAAGUGAUUAGAUACCGCAGUAGUUCCAGCAGUAAAAGAUGCCGACAUGCUCAUUGGACACAGUGGGCAGGGAGAAAUCUUAGAGUUCGGGCUCUGGGGAUAGUAUGCUCGCAAGGGUGAAAAUUAAAGAAAUUGACGGAGCUACACCACAAGGAGUGGAUUGUGCGGCUUAAUUUGACUCAACGCGAGGAAACUUACCAGGGCCAAGUAUUGUGUAGAAACGAGCAAUACAGGAGUGGUGCAUGGUCGUUGGAAAUUGAUGGGAUGACUUUGACCUUAAAUGGUUGAAUGAGUGAGAUCUUUUGGACAUGUUCCGCACGGAACAGGAAGGAAAAGGCUAUAACAGAUCCGAGAUGCCCUCAGAUGCCCUGGGCUGCACGCGCAAUACAAUAGCAGGUAGAGAGAGAGACAGGAAGGUGCUCAGAUGGACUAUGUGCUGUAAGGCACAUACGAAAGAGGAA
rnacentral:rRNA from 1 species